AGAUCCAAAUCGCAGGGAAGUACCCAAACACAUAACAGUAGUAAUGAGUAAUUCCUUCAGAAGGCGAUGGACGGUAUCACCAGUGGCACUGAGAAAUGAAGAUGUCGCCUUUCCUCCCUGUGCACAGCUUAACAAAGCAAUAAACUGAGUGUGGACCAGUUUGCAUGUCA